rnacentral:rRNA from 1 species
AGAGUUUGAUCCUGGCUCAGGAUGAACGCUAGCGGCAGGCCUAAUACAUGCAAGUCGAGGGGCAGUUUUAACUUCGGUUAGAAGCGACCGGCGAACGGGUGCGUAACGCGUAUGCAACUUACCCAUUACAGCGGGAUAGCCUCCGGAAACGGGGAUUAAUACCGCAUGAAGCAGGGGUACCGCAUGGUACUAUUAGCUAAAGAUUUAUCGGUAAUGGAUGGGCAUGCGUCUGAUUAGCUAGUAGGUGAGGUAAAAGCUCACCUAGGCGACGAUCAGUAGGGGGUCUGAGAGGAUGAUCCCCCACACUGGUACUGAGAUACGGACCAGACUCCUACGGGAGGCAGCAGUAGGGAAUAUUGGGCAAUGGGCGCAAGCCUGACCCAGCCAUGCCGCGUGCAGGAAGAAUGCCUUAUGGGUUGUAAACUGCUUUUGUAGAGGAAGAAAGGUUACGAUGCGUCGUAAAUUGACGGUACUCUACGAAUAAGCACCGGCUAACUCCGUGCCAGCAGCCGCGGUAAUACGGAGGGUGCAAGCGUUGUCCGGAUUUAUUGGGUUUAAAGGGUACGCAGGCGGCCAAAUAAGUCAGUGGUGAAAUCCUUCAGCUUAACUGAAGAACUGCCAUUGAUACUGUUUGGCUUGAGUAUAGUGGAGGUAAGCGGAAUUUAUGGUG